CGCGGUAAUACGUAGGGUGCAAGCGUUGUCCGGGAAUUAUUGGGCGUAAAGAGCUCGUAGGCGGUUUGUCGCGUCUGCUGUGAAAUCUGGGGGCUCAACCCCCAGCCUGCAGUGGGUACGGGCAGACUAGAGUGCGGUAGGGGAGAUUGGAAUUCCUGGUGUAGCGGUGGAAUGCGCAGAUAUCAGGAGGAACACCGAUGGCGAAGGCAGAUCUCUGGGCCGUAACUGACGCUGAGGAGCGAAAGCAUGGGGAGCGAACAGGAUUAGAUACCCUGGUAGUCCAUGCCGUAAACGUUGGGAACUAGAUGUGGGGACCAUUCCACGGUCUCCGUGUCGCAGCUAACGCAUUAAGUUCCCCGCCUGGGGAGUACGGCCGCAAGGCUAAAACUCAAAGGAAUUGACGGGGGCCCGCACAAGCGGCGGAGCAUGCGGAUUAAUUCGAUGCAACGCGAAGAACCUUACCAAGGCUUGACAUAUACCGGAAACGUCCAGAGAUGGUCGCCCCGCAAGGUCGGUAUACAGGUGGUGCAUGGUUGUCGUCAGCUCGUGUCGUGAGAUGUUGGGUUAAGUCCCGCAACGAGCGCAACCCUCGUUCUAUGUUGCCAGCACGUUAUGGUGGGAACUCAUAGGAGACUGCCGGGGUCAACUCGGAGGAAGGUGGGGAUGACGUCAAAUCAUCAUGCCCCUUAUGUCUUGGGCUUCACGCAUGCUACAAUGGCCGGUACAAAGGGCUGCGAUACCGUAAGGUGGAGCGAAUCCCAAAAAGCCGGUCUCAGUUCGGAUUGAGGUCUGCAACUCGACCUCAUGAAGUCGGAGUCGCUAGUAAUCGCAGAUCAGCAACGCUGCGGUGAAUACGUUCCCGGGCCUUGUACACACCGCCCGUCAAGUCAUGAAAGUCGGUAACACCCGAAGCCAGUGGCCUAACCCUUGUGGAUGGAGCUGU
rnacentral:rRNA from 1 species